UUUUGGGCAAUGGGGGCAAGCCUGAUCCAGCAAUUCCGCCUGAGUGAAGAAGCCCUUCGGGCUGGAACCGCUUUCAGCAGGAACGAAAAUGACGGUACCUGCAGAAGAAGGAGCGGCCAACUUCGUGCCAGCAGCCGCGGUGACACGUAGGCUCCAAGCGUUGUCCCCCUCUAUUGGGCGUAAAGAGCUCGUAGGCGGUUUAGUAAGUCGGGUGUUAAAACUCUGGGCUCAACCCGGAGAGGCCAUCCGAUACUGCUGUGACUUGAUUUCAGGAGGGGAGCGGGGGAAUUCCUAGGUAGGGGUGAAAUGCGCGGUUUUUAGGAGGAACACCGGUGGCGAAGGGGCCGCUUUGGACUGAAACUACGUGAGAGGGGCC
rnacentral:rRNA from 1 species